rnacentral:rRNA from 1 species
GACGAACGGUGCAGAACGUUAUUCGGAAUCACUGGGUACGUUAAAGCGCGUGGUAGGACGGGACGGCACGUCCGACGCUGAAAUCCCCCGGCUCAACCGGGGAACGGGCGCGGAUUACGACCGCCUGGAGGGGCGUAGGGGGACCUGGAACUUCCGGUGGAGCGGUGAAAUGCGAUUGAGAUCGGAAGGAACGCCCGUGGCGAAAGCGAGUCCUGGACGCCUACUGACGCUGAGACGCGAAAGCCAGGGGAGCGAACGGGG